rnacentral:misc_RNA from 1 species
CCGAGUUUACAACUCCCAAAACCCCUGUGAACAUACCACUUGUUGCCUCGGCGGAUCAGCCCGCUCCCGGUAAAACGGGACGGCCCGCCAGAGGACCCCUAAACUCUGUUUCUAUAUGUAACUCCUGAGUAAAACCAUAAAUAAAUCA